GGGGGAAGAAGGAUGGCUAGAUGGAUGGACAUAGGAGCCUCAGGAGAUAAAGCCAAACAGCCAUGUGCGAUCUUGGCGUCUGCAUUGCUGAGGCCUCAUGUCACCAAGAUCAACUUUAACGUGGUUUGUUUGUUUUGACUUGGGACAACUUUGUACCUUGUAACCCUGGAUGGCCUGAAACUUGUUAUGAAGGCUAGCCUUGUUGUCAGUUUGAAGAGAUUUGACUGUCUCAGUCUCCCA
rnacentral:lncRNA from 1 species